rnacentral:snRNA from 1 species
AUACAUGUCUGGCAGAGGAGGGGAGGAUAGCAUGAACCUGAAAGUGGUUUUCCCAGGGCAAGUCUCCACUGCACCCAAAGGUGUGCUGACUGCUGGGAUUUCUCCUAAUAUAGGAAACUUGACUGAAUAAUUUAUGCUAGUGAGAAAAAGCAUGAAUACAGUCUCCCU